UCUAAGAUGCGCGGGUGCGCAAUUGCGCACUGCUGACACGGUCUCCGCGCACAGAAAACCUGCGCUGCGCACACACAAAAAAAAUCCAACCUAAAUUGUAAGUAAAAUAAACACGUAACAAUUCAUUCUGUGCUAUUUUUCAGUGAGUCAGUGAGUGACCGGUGACUGGCUGCUGCAGCCAAUGAUGCGAUUCACAUACGUAUUUACCAUAGACUGUAUAUAAUGGUAUUUACGCAGCUAAUCAACGUCAGGCGUCCUUAUGUGCACCCACCGUUGUUCUCAUAGAUAUGAAUGAGUAGAUAGGACACGCCCCUUUGAGCUGCGUGCUACUGCGAGGCUAAGCUAGUGGGGGCAAAGUUUCAGUGCAUUCAGUUGAUGUAGACGGCGUGAAAACGGAAACAAGUAUGCCGUCUCACUGUGCUGCAUACAAUUGCACACUGCGUCGUACGAUUGAGACAAGGAAACGUGGAAUGACUUUUCAUAGGUAAGAAUAGUUUUUGGCUCUUUUUUCAGUAUUAAAUCUUGUUGAGAGCUUCCAGUCUAUGAGAGCUAACUAGUUAGCCACUAGCAAAACGCUAAGGCGAGCUAGCAGCUUGACAACCAAAUACCAGACGAUUAAUAGUAGCUGUAGUAUAGUUGUACAAGCAGUAGUAAUAAUACUAAAAGUACAAGCAGUAGUAGUAUGAACAGCUGUUAGAGUCGUAGAAGUAGUAUUUGUAAUAGUAUUACAAGUUGUAGUAGCAGUGCCAGUAGCAGUAGCAGUAGUGAGUGUAAGACAACUAGUAGUAGUCGCAUCGCUAUUGCUACCACCAAUACUACCAAUAGUAGUUAUAAAGCCUAACUCAUGUAUAUCCAGAUUACCAUCUAUGUUCUUCCUCCAAACCCAUUUUAUGAUUGGGAUUACAGGCAGUUCUUUAGGACUGCUCUCAAAUAAUUGAAAUGUUACUAAACAAGGUUAUACUUAUCAAAUUAAAUAGCUCUGGUCUCCAGUAUAUUGGCGAAUUCGGUUCUUUGUACUUAAUUUAUUAGCAUGAUUUCUUUUUUAAUAUGUUGUGUACAGACUUAAUUACUUCUCUGUCUACUUUUCUUACUCCAUGUAGGUUUCCCAGAGACUAUGGGUUGAGGAGGAAUUGGAAGUUUGUCGGCUUAGACCUGGUGUCAUUCAAUCAGUGUUAAACUUCCCGGCUCAUCUUGGAAGAGUAUGUGCCAGAAAGACCACAACCAAGCAGCCUUGAGAUCUUAGACAGCAUCUCCCUCAGGUCCCUCUCUAUCUUCCCACACAUCCACCAACCACUGGAACACAUCUCCAAAGUUCUGCCGGGCCAGCUCAGCUUCCCCUCAGAAGAAGUUCCUCCACCUGCCAGAUGAAGGAGCCUUUUGAGAGGCAGCUGGCAUCAUGAUUGGACUGUACUUUGGUCUGUUCCAAUCCAGCUUCAGCUCCAGAGACGGCAGGCGGGACGAGUCAACGGAGGCCGGGUGGACGAAGGCAUGCAGCUGAGUACAAUCCAGAAAACAACAGAGGAGGAGUGCAGUGGCCCAGAGCCAGAACAAACACAGUAGCAUCGUAUGUCUCUGAGAAAACAUCAUAGUAUAGCCUUUGGUAUGAAAAAACGCCAUCAUAUACAUUGUAUAUUGUACAAAUAACAAGUCAAAGGAAAGAGACAUCAACUGUAGAAUUGUAGUAAUUGUGGGCUGACUGAUUUACUGAUUAUCAGUAUUUUAUUUUUUACUGAUUUACGGUAAUAAAUACAUUUAAAAAUGG